GCCAGGCAUUAUGGUGGGUGCCUGUAGUCCUAGCUACUUGGGAGGCUGAGGCAGGAGACUCACUUGAGCCCAGGAGUUGGAGGUUGCUGUGAGCUGUGAUGCCACGGCAUUCUACCCAGGGGGAUAGCUUGAGGCUCCAUCUCAAAAAAAAAAAAAAUUCAGAGAAUAAGAAGGCCUUAAGUAGUUUACCUCUAUGGCUUAGGAAUUCUUUUCUUUUCUUUUCUUUUCUUUUUUUUUUUUUGAGACAGAGCCUCAAGCUAUCCCCCUGGGUAGAGUGCUGUGGCAUCACAGCUCACAGCAACCUCCAACUCCUGGGCUCAAGCAAGUCUCCUGCCUU
rfam:Otolemur garnettii contig065559, whole genome shotgun sequence.